CAGCGAGUUAUUUUUGUCUUUUCGAGCUACAAAGAUGAUAAAUAAUGAAGAUAUCAUGGAAUUCGAGAUUCAAUUUUGUAUCCAUAUAAAUACAAAAAAAAAGUGCAUUGGGUACCUAUCGUAUUACCUAAUCUAAUUGGUGAUUACAAUUUUGAAAAUUAUUUGAUUUUAACGGGAAGAAUUGAAGAGUAUUCAAGGGCGGCAACUGAUAAUUCAUUUUUGAUAGAAUGGACAAUAUUUUUUGAAAUUUCCCAAGAACAUGGAGCAUUUCAAUACGAUUUAUCUGCAGUAACCUGUGAGGUAGCAUCCAAGCCAGUACGUGAUACUAUCAUUGUGGCUGUAUUAUACUACUCCUUAGUCUAUGUGUUAACUCCUAUUUAAGCCAAACCCCAAAGUGACUGGAACAAUUUGAGGCUUCAUGCACUGAACUGGAACUUUCUCUCAUCACUGCAUAAGUAGCUGCGGCGAAGAAAUACACAGGAGAAUUUAGACUGUUUGCUUAUGUAGUAUGUCCUCACACUAUAGGUGACCAAAGAUGGUAAUCUCGGGUACCUGAUCAAUACUUGAGCCCUUUGUGCAUGUAUGUUGUAAUAUGUGAUUCUAAUUGUUGCGAUGUAUUUACCUCAAGCCCUUAAAUUGUUUUGUGAUAUAUGUAACUAUUCGAAAAGGUUUCUUGCAAACACGGAUUCCUGCUCCUCAUUGUUGUGGUAUGUGUAAGUCUCUAUUAUAUUAGUAGGAAAUUAGUAUUACUUCAUCUUACUAAUUGGCGUUCAGUUAUAAGGUGUAGGUAUAUUUGUAAAUUUACCGCAAAUAUACGAGUGUAGAUAUAGUA